CUUGAGCCAGGCCUCUGGACUCUAGGCCUCUCAGGGGCAAAGUUUGAAAUUUCCCUAAGCAGAUGAACCCGAGGGACGUCUGCAGCGCUAGCUUGUUCAGUCAUUGUGCACCUGUUCCAUGUAACAAUAACUAAGAAUCUGCACCUGCCCCCUCCCCCUCAACGUAGUAGGGAAUGCAAGGAAGACCCAGAAAUGACUCGCAGGAAGGAAGAAAGAACUUCGUGUAGCCCAAGAGGUGCAGAAGGACGACAGAACACCCACAGCCUUCCCCCAGUUCCAGUCGAGUGAACAGUGGGAGAAUUGAAUCAUCAACCCCACAUGGUUGCUCAGGAAGGAGGUGUUCCGUGACAAUCAGCAGAAUAGAUCCUUUACAAAAGCACAAACUGCUCCACUGUUGUCUUGGGUGAACUCACUUGUAAUAGUUCUUUAGUGGAAACUGUGACAGUAAUUCAAGUGGCUCAAAUGAUAGCUCUUCAUGAUCAAAAUCAAAAGACGAGGACACAGGAAAUGGAACAUGUGAAAACAUCACUCCGCUACUAUUAAACUCAAUGCAAGAGGUCUAACCAAAGUGCUCUGAAUCCAGAAGGCCUUCCUCAUUCUUUUAAGAAAUACUUACUGGGACCUCGGUAUCUGUCAGCCCCUGAUCUUCAAGCUGAGGAUAUCAAGGCCGCAGACAAGAGGGGAAACUCUCAGAGCCAGAAGGGGAAAGUGUUCUACAGCAGCUUCCAGAAAUAGUCAAGUUAGAAGAAGCAGGUCCACUUCCCCUACCUCCAACACCCACUCAUACCAGGAGAAGGAGAACAACCUUUAUCACCAGCGAUCAGUUUAAUUUGCAGGCUGCAUUAACAGAACGGAAGAGGAUAAAGGAACAGUGCUUUCCUCCCCUACUGAGGCAAGGAAGUGGGGAGAGGGAGGGAGAGAAGGAAGGAAGAAAAGGUUUUCUGACUUGGGACUGGCAUCAGAUAAUUGCUUUCCUUCCAGUUGGACAAUAAAUAAGAUGGGAGGAAUUGACAAGCCCAGGAGACUGGAGGCUGGCUUGGCUCCAUAAAGGCCCAUCAACUUCUCCAUCCUUUAUUGAACCAAGGAAAUGCUAUUAAAAUCAUCAUCUCCAGGCAAGGAAAUAUCCUUUUUACUUGGUUUGGUACUUGGAAGUCAUUUGUUUUCUAAUGAUGCUAAAUUCCACCUCUGGCAUUUACAUAUAUCUAAUUUCAAAAGGCAGACACAGGGAGAAGGCCAAGUUUUUUAAGGCUCUUGGGUUCAUUUUUGAAACCUGUCAGUGCUUCCAGGGCCAAAGAAUUCUACCAGUUGAAAUAAAAUUUUAUAUUCGCAACCAAAACUAAUAAAGCUACAUUCCACCGUGUUAAAAGUGUGUUCCUCUCAACUUUCAAAAAAGGUCAAGGAAACAAUCCACUUAAACCCUUGUAUAUUUCAGGAUUGUUAUUCCCUGAGAGUAUCUUCUCUAUUUUUCAAAUUAAGCACGUA